rnacentral:rRNA from 1 species
UGAGGAAUAUUGGGCAAUGCCCGCAAGGGUGACCCAGCAACGCCGCGUGGAGGAUGAAUGUCGUAAGAUUGUAAACUCCUGUUAGAGGGGAAGAAUAGUACCGGUUGGACCGGUAUAUGACUGUACCCUCAGAGAGAGCCCCGGCUAACUACGUGCCAGCAGCCGCGGUAAUGCGUAGGGGGCAAGCGUUGUCCGGAUUUACUGGGUGUAAAGGGCGCGCAGGCGGGAUAAAAAGUCAGUGGUGAAAUCCUACAGCUUAACUGUAGGACUGCCUUUGAUACUUUUAUUCUUGAGUUCGGGAGAGAGAGACGGAAUUCCAGGUGUAGUGGUGAAAUACGUAGAUAUCUGGAAGAACACCAGUUGCGAAGGCGGUCUCUUGGUCCGAUACUGACGCUGAGGCGCGAAAGCGUGGGGAGCAAACA